rnacentral:lncRNA from 1 species
CUGUAGGUGUGCAUCUUCCUCCUUUUCCUGCACUACACUAAUCACCUCUCACAAUCUAGUCCCCAGUUCAUGUUUAUCAAGAACUAACAAUCACCUUCGUAGCGAUAAUCAAACUGCAAGCAACUUGAUAACACUAGGUCAAUCACCGCAUAUGCAUGCAGUGGUUGCUUUUUAUUUUUGUUCGUCGAGCGGAAGAGGCUGCCGUUUUAUUACAUCACACAGACCAUUGCUACAUAAGGUUUGUUUUAUUACAAUCACACACGUACCAUUGCUAACAUAAGGUUUGCCUCCUCGCGAACACUAACAUUUGAGCCUGCCCAUCUUCAGUGCAGCUCCUUGAGGAAGUCCGCAUGAUCCACCAGAACCUGCAACCCCGAGAAU